CUGCCUUCUCACACUGCUCUCUACAUCUCCGGCAACAAUUAUGGGACCAUUAUCCACUUGGGUACCUGCUUCCUUCUUCUGCAGCCAGGACACCGGCUCUUAUCAUAUUGAAAUACAUGACACUGUAUUGACAUAUGAACACAUCUUUCCAGCAUGAGGCAUCUCCUGACCCCACCUGCUGCUUCUACAGCCACCUGAUGUUCUCCAAGGUGACAUCAGCUGCUGCCGGCUA
rnacentral:lncRNA from 1 species